rnacentral:rRNA from 1 species
AACGAACGCUGGCGGCAUGCCUAACACAUGCAAGUCGAACGAUGCUUUCGGGCAUAGUGGCGCACGGGUGCGUAACGCGUGGGAAUCUGCCCUUGGGUUCGGAAUAACAGUGAGAAAUUGCUGCUAAUACCGGAUGAUGUCUUCGGACCAAAGAUUUAUCGCCCAGGGAUGAGCCCGCGUAGGAUUAGCUAGUUGGUGGGGUAAUGGCCUACCAAGGCGACGAUCCUUAGCUGGUCUGAGAGGAUGAUCAGCCACACUGGGACUGAGACACGGCCCAGACUCCUACGGGAGGCAGCAGUGGGGAAUAUUGGACAAGGGGCGCAAGCCUGAGCCAGCAAUGCCGCGUGAGUGAUGAAGGCCUUAGGGUUGUAAAGCUCUUUUACCCGGGAUGAUAAUGACAGUACCGGGAGAAUAAGCUCCGGCUAACUCCGUG